CCCCUCUCAGGAUCAUACCUAGAGAGUUUUUGGUACUCUACCAGUCUCGACUAUGGGAGAGAGAGUCAAGCAGAGGCCUACCCAUUCCAUUCCUAGCCUGGGCAGUGGCUAGCAAGUGGAAGGCAAUCUGCUACAAGU